rnacentral:misc_RNA from 1 species
GAUGAAGAACGUAGCGAAAUGCGAUAAGUAAUGUGAAUUGCAGAAUUCAGUGAAUCAUCGAAUCUUUGAACGCACAUUGCGCCCGCCAGUAUUCUGGCGGGCAUGCCUGUUCGAGCGUCAUUUCAACCAUCAAGCCCCCGGCUUGUGUUGGGGACCUGCGGCUGCCGCAGGCCCUGAAAAGCAGUGGCGGGCUCGCUGUCACACCGAGCGUAGUAGCAUACAUCUCGCUCUGGGCGUGCUGCGGGUUCCGGCCGUUAUACCACCUUCAUAACCCAAGGUUGACCUCGGAUCAGGUAGGAAGACCCGCUGAACUUAAGCAUAUCAAUAAGCGGAGGA